UAGGGAAUCUUCCGCAAUGGACGAAAGUCUGACGGAGCAACGCCGCGUGAGUGAAGAAGGAUUUCGGUUCGUAAAACUCUGUUGUUAGGGAAGAAAAAAUGUAUAGUAACUAUAUACAAAAGAGACGGUACCUAACCAGAAAGCCACGGCUAACUACGUGCCAGCAGCCGCGGUAAUACGUAGGUGGCAAGCGUUGUCCGGAAUUAUUGGGCGUAAAGCGCGCGCAGGUGGUUUGGAAAGUCUGAUGUGAAAGCCCACGGCUCAACCGUGGAGGGUACUUGGAAACUAAUAAACUUGAAGGCAAGAGAGAAAAGUGGAAUUCCUAGUGGAGCGGUGAAAUGCGGAGAGAUUAGGAGGAACACCGGUUGCGAAAGCGGCUUUUUGGCCUGCAACUGACACUGAGGCGCGAAAGCGUGGGGAGCAAACAGG
rnacentral:rRNA from 1 species